CACUCUGUUAACAAGUAAAAAGGUAAAGACCCCUUUCGUUCAUGAAUUACCAUGGGAUUACACUUAGAAAGUUCCCCUCCAAGGCACAAGUCCGGGCAAGGUUGUUUAUGGAAGACCAGCAGUCGCCCAUGCAUACCAUCUCCCAUCACCACGACAUCGAU